rnacentral:rRNA from 1 species
UAGCCGUAAACGAUACUCGCUAGGUGUCGGCCACGGUGCGACCGUUGUCGGUGCCGUAGGGAAGCCGUGAAGCGAGCCACCUGGGAAGUACGGCCGCAAGGCUGAAACUUAAAGGAAUUGGCGGGGGAGCACAACAACGGGUGGAGCUUGCGGUUUAAUUGGAUUCAACGCCGGAAAUCUUACCGGGACCGACAGCGAUAUGAAGGCCAGGCUGAAGACUUUGCCGGAUUAGCUGAGAGGUGGUGCAUGGCGUAGUCGUGU